GGGUCUCUGAUGACAAACUUAUGUCAUGGAGAGAGAUGGUGACAUAAAAAUCAUAUUCCAUAUAAUUAUGUUGAGUCCC